ACAUAAUUUUAAUUUUGUUUUAAUUUUUGUAAAUUAUAUAUAUGAAUUGGUAUUUACUAUACUAAUAUAUCAAGGUAAAAACUUCAGUCUUUGUUCUCAGCUGUGCUGAACAAAGUUUCGAUUUUAUAGUCUCCAAUUGUUGAAACUCCUCUCUAUGGGACGAAAAGAAAACUUAUACCUGAAAUUCUCUGUUUCCUGGGUUAAUGAGUUUCUUUUUAGACCAAAGAGUCUACUUAAAGCUUAACUUAACUCUUUAUCAGAGUUGGCUUUAUGCAGUUACUUUUUGGUUUCUUUGUUUUUGUUUUUGUUUUUGAGUUGGAGUUUCAUUGUGUCGCCCAGGCUGGAGUGCAGUGGCGCAGUCUCAGCUCACUGCAACCUUCGUCUCCCAGGUUCACGUGACUGUUCCACCUCAGCCUCCCGAAUAGCUGGGAUUACAGGCACACACCACCAUACCCAGCUAAUUUUUGUAUUUUUUGGGAGAGAUGCAGUUUCGCCAUUUUGGCCAGGCUGGUCUUGAACUCCUGACCUAAAGUGAUCUACCUGUCUUGGCCUCCCAAAGUGCUGUGAUUGCAGGCAUGAGCCACCAUGCCCAGCCUAUGCAGUUACCUUUAUGUUCAUCAUUCUCUUUAGGUUAUGAGUCUUUGGAGUGUCAGUCUUUGCACUGCUGCCUUCAGGAUCAUUUCUGGAGGAUUGCAGAGAGAAGUUGGUUAGACUGGGCAGCCAACUGCAAUGGCAGAGUAGACCAGAAGCAAGGGAGGAAUAACAAGACAGGAAAAUGGAAGAGGCAGAGAGAGUCUCAAGGUCCAGGUAAGAGAAAGAAUGGUUUAUGGUUUAAAAUCCCUCCUAGCAUUCUUAUACGGUUUGCAAAAUGCUCAGCUUUGAUGUCUUCAGUGGAAUACCAAAAUUAUGCCCCAAACUUCUUUUGA
rnacentral:lncRNA from 1 species